rnacentral:rRNA from 1 species
GAUGAACGCUGGCGGCGUGCUUAACACAUGCAAGUCGAACGAAGCACUCAGAUCUCUUCGGAGUGAUGAGUGACUGAGUGGCGGACGGGUGAGUAACGCGUGGGUAACCUGCCUUGUACAGGGGGACAACAGUUGGAAACGACUGCUAAUACCGCAUAAGCGCACAGCUUCGCAUGAAGCAGUGUGAAAAGCUGAGGCGGUACAAGAUGGACCCGCGUUGGAUUAGCUAGUUGGUGGGGUAACGGCCUACCAAGGCGACGAUCCAUAGCCGACCUGAGAGGGUGACCGGCCACAUUGGGACUGAGACACGGCCCAAACUCCUACGGGAGCAGCAGUGGGGAAUAUUGCACAAUGGGCGAAAGCCUGAUGCAGCGACGCCGCGUGAGCGAUGAAGUAUUUCGGUAUGUAAAGCUCUAUCAGCAGGGAAGAAAAUGACGGUACCUGACUAAGAAGCUCCGGCUAAAUACGUGCCAGCAGCCGCAGUAACAC